GCUUGGACAGAAGCAUACUGCCGACAUCUUUCUUUAUUCUGGGUGGAAAUAGUAACAUAGUUACGCCAUUAAAUGCGUUUAUGGAAACAUUUUUAGCGAGAAAUGUGCAUUUUACUUUCAUAAUGUUCGCUCGGUGAAUGUGAAGGAUGUUUGGUUUGAUAGUUAUGACGAAGAGGGAACGCUCCGUUCACUUGCAUGGACAUGGACUCAUCUAGCUGCGUUGGCGCGUUGACGCGUUGAACCACCACACAAUGAUCAAGCGUCAGAACCCUCGCGCCAGUUUCAAACACAACAACAACAAUUUCGUCUUCGAUUCAAUCCG